rnacentral:rRNA from 1 species
CCUACGGGAGGCUGCAGUGGGGAAUAUUGGACAAUGGGGGGAACCCUGAUCCAGCCAUGCCGCGUGUGUGAAGAAGGCCCUCGGGUUGUAAAGCACUUUCAGUGAGGAAGAACGCCUGGUGGUUAAUACCCAUCAGGAAAGACAUCACUCACAGAAGAAGCACCGGCUAACUCCGUGCCAGCAGCCGCGGUAAUACGGAGGGUGCGAGCGUUAAUCGGAAUUACUGGGCGUAAAGCGCACGUAGGUGGCUUGAUAAGCCGGUUGUGAAAGCCCCGGGCUCAACCUGGGAACGGCAUCCGGAACUGUCAAGCUAGAGUGCAGGAGAGGAAGGUAGAAUUCCCGGUGUAGCGGUGAAAUGCGUAGAGAUCGGGAGGAAUACCAGUGGCGAAGGCGGCCUUCUGGACUGACACUGACACUGAGGUGCGAAAGCGUGGGUAGCAAACAGGAUUAGAUACCCCUGUAGUC